rnacentral:rRNA from 1 species
UAAUACAGAGGUCUCAAGCGUUGUUCGGAUUCAUUGGGCGUAAAGGGUGCGUAGGUGGCUUGUUAAGUUGAAGGUGAAAUCUCGGGGCUCAACUCCGAAACUGCCUUCAAUACUGGCGAGCUCGAGGACUGUAGAGGAGAAUGGAAUUCACGGUGUAGCAGUGAAAUGCGUAGAUAUCGUGAGGAAGACCAGUGGCGAAGGCGAUUCUCUGGGCAGUUCCUGACACUGAGGCACGAAGGCCAGGGGAGCAAACGGGAUUAGAUACCCCGGUAGUCCUGGCAGUAAACGGUGCACGUUUGGUGUGGGAGGAUUCGACCCCUUCCGUGCCGGAGCUAACGCGUUAAACGUGCCGCCUGGGAAGUACGGUCGCAAGAUU